rnacentral:rRNA from 1 species
CACGUAGGGUGCGAGCGUUGUCCGGAAUUAUUGGGCGUAAAGAGCUCGUAGGCGGUGUGUCGCGUCGGCCGUGAAAACCUGCAGCUUAACUGUGGGCGUGCGGUCGAUACGGGCAUCACUGGAGUUCGGUAGGGGAGACUGGAAUUCCUGGUGUAGCGGUGGAAUGCGCAGAUAUCAGGAGGAACACCGAUGGCGAAGGCAGGUCUCUGGGCCAUUACUGACACUGAGAAGCGAAAGCAUGGGGAGCGAACAGG